rnacentral:rRNA from 1 species
GAUGAACGCUGGCGGCGUGCCUAAUACAUGCAAGUCGAGCGAACAGACGAGGAGCUUGCUCCUCUGACGUUAGCGGCGGACGGGUGAGUAACACGUGGAUAACCUACCUAUAAGACUGGGAUAACUUCGGGAAACCGGAGCUAAUACCGGAUAAUAUAUUGAACCGCAUGGUUCAAUCGUGAAAGCCGGUUUUGCUGUCACUUAUAGAUGCAUCCGGGCCGCAUUAACUAGUUGGUAAGGUAACGGCUUACCAAGGCAACGAUGCGUAGCCGACCUGAGAGGGUGAUCAGCCACACUGGAACUGAGACACGGUCCAGACUCCUACGGGAGGCAGCAGUAGGGAAUCUUCCGCAAUGGGCGAAAGCCUGACGGAGCAACGCCGCGUGAGUGAUGAAGGUCUUCGGAUCGUAAAACUCUGUUAUUAGGGAAGAACAAAUGUGUAAGUAACUAUGCACGUCUUGACGGUACCUAAUCAGAAAGCCACGGCUAACUACGUG